GGAGAGGUAUCGAAGUGGUCAUAACGGGGCUGACUCGAAAUCAGUUUGUCUUAACGGACACGGGGGUUCGAAUCCCUUCCUCUCCGCCA
rnacentral:tRNA from 1 species